rnacentral:pre_miRNA from 1 species
UUUUAAAAGUUUCAUCCAUUUGUAUUGUAAAAAACUGACGUGGCUGACAGAGUAAUCAGACACUGAUUUGUGGCAUGCCACGUAUACGUCAUGCUGGCAUAUAUGAACUAGUUUUUAAUAAUAGAAAUACGUAAAAUAUUUAAUA